AUUGAACGCUGGCGGCAGGCUUAACACAUGCAAGUCGAGCGAGCGGCGGACGGGUGAGUAAUGUCUGGGAAACUGCCUGAUGGAGGGGGAUAAAUACUGGAAACGGUAGCUAAUAACGCAUACCAUCAGAUGUGCCCAGAUGGGAUUAGCUAGUAGGUGGGUGAAGUGCUCACCUGGGCGAGGUUCCCUAGCUGGUCUGAGAGGAUGACCAGCCACACUGGAACUGAGACACGGCCCGGACUCCUACGGUAGGCAGCAGUGGGGAAUAUUGCACAAUGGGCGAAAGCCUGAUGCAGCCAUGCCGCGUGUGUGAAGAAGGCCUUCGGGUUGUAAAGCACUUUCAGCGAGGAGGCGUUACUCGCAGAAGAAGCACCGGCUAACUCCGUGCCAGCCGCCGCGGUAAUUC
rnacentral:rRNA from 1 species